rnacentral:rRNA from 1 species
GACGAACGCUGGCGGCGUGCCUAAUACAUGCAAGUUGAGCGCUGACGGUUGGUACUUGUACCAACUGGAUGAGCAGCGAACGGGUGAGUAACGCGUGGGUAAUCUGCCUUUGAGCGGGGGACAACAUCUGGAAACGAAUGCUAAUACCGCAUAAAACCUUUAAACACAAGUUGUAAGUUUGAAAGAUGCAAUUGCAUCACUCAAAGAUGAUUCCGCGUUGUAUUAGCUAGUUGGUGAGGUAAAGGCUCACCAAGGCGAUGAUACAUAGCCGACCUGGGAGGGUGAUCGGCCACAUUGGGACUGAGACACGGCCCAAACUCCUACGGGAGGCAGCAGUAGGGAAUCUUCGGCAAUGGACGAAAGUCUGAACGAGCAAAGCCGCGUGAGUGAAGAAGGUUUUCGGAUCGUAAAACUCUGUUGGUAGAGAAGAACGUUGGUGAGAGUGGAAAGCUCAUCAAGUGACGGUAACUACACAGAAAGGGACGGCUAACUACGUG